AAGAUUUUAUGUUAAUUAAACAAUUAGCCUUCAAAGCUAAAAUUAAAAAUAAAUUUUUAAGUCUUA
rnacentral:tRNA from 1 species